UACGAAGGGGGCUAGCGUUGCUCGGAAUCACUGGGCGUAAAGCGCACGUAGGCGGACUCUUAAGUCGGUGGUGAAAUCCUGGAGCUCAACUCCAGAACUGCCUUCGAUACUGAGAGUCUCGAGUCCGAGAGAGGUGAGUGGAACUGCGAGUGUAGAGGUGAAAUUCGUAGAUAUUCGCAAGAACACCAGUGGCGAAGGCGGCUCACUGGCUCGGUACUGACGCUGAGGUGCGAAAGCGUGGGUAGCAACAGG
rnacentral:rRNA from 1 species